GCUUUCUAUCCUUCCAGGAUUGAUAAAAUGAAGUCCAGUUAGGUACUGGGGUCGAUGGUAUUUGACUGCUCCCUUCUCUUGAAGUCUGAGACCUUGUGUCUGUAAAAAAUCAUUGUUAUAAAGAACAGUUUAACGCCAUUAGUUUAUUAUACAGCUUUGAAUCUAAGUUAAAGCAGCAGUUACUGUAAAUUUUCUUCAUUCUUUCCAUCCUGCAUCAGAAAUCAGUGAGUUAUAUGACACUUGUUGGUCUCACUUCUAGCUUGCUUUCCACGUAGUAGCUGCUAAGGGUGAUCUCCUCAUAACACAGGUACUUACAGGGAUUGUUGUAAUACUGAAUCAUUCAUUUUUCAGAUCUCUGUUUAGAAUUGAAAUCUUGCAAUGGUUGACUCUGUCCUGUAUCCUUCCUGUGGUUGGUAAAGUAAAUUUGAUUCAUGUACUUUGUCUCUGUGAGUUGUGGGAGGUCAAUAAAAUAUACAUGAGUAAUACAUUAGGAUCAGUUGUUGACUAUAUCCCUCCCUUAUUAAAACAUUGAACUUGUAUCUGGUCAGAAGACCUCCACAUUGCCAAUGUAGAAGCUUCUACAUGGUUUUUUCAACAUGCUUGAAAUAGCUGCUGAUUUCACUCAACCCACAUCUUAAGAAAAGGAAGGACACU